CACGGUGUCUGAGAUCAUGGACCUCGUGGGCAGGAACGUGCAUCAGCGCUGGUUCCUCCUCUUUCUGGUGGCAACUCCCAGAUGUGUCCUGUCCCAGGUACAGCUGCAGGAGUCGGGACCAAGCCUGGUGACACCCUCUCAGACGCUGUCCCUCACCUGCUCGGUCUCUGGAUUCUCUCUAAGCGACUAUGAUGUGGACUGGAUCCGCCAGACCCCUGGAAACGGUCUGGAUUGGGUUGGUGCUAUAGGUUAUGAUGGAAGAACAUACUAUAAGCCAAGUCUUCAGUCCCGACUCAGCAUCUCCAGGGACAUCUCCAAGAACCAAGUUUACCUAAAACUUAGCAACUCAGUAAGUGAGGACACAGCCAUGUAUUAUUGUGCAAAAGAAACACACAGUGAGGGCAAAUCCCUGUGA